GUCAGCCCAAGAAUUUCUUUUAAAAGGCCGAGUGAAGGAGGCCACAGCUGCUGGACUGGGAGACAGAAUUUGCAUGAGCCUGGGGCUGGGCUCUGGGCACAAACCUCCGGAUGUCUUCAGGGAUCUGUGAGCAGAGAGGCCUGGCUGCAAAGGGUCUGGAGGACAGCCCUUCUGCUAAGGCGUCCGCCCCCAAGGCAGAGGGCUUGGGGGAGCUGGAGGAGGCUGGGCUCCAGGAGGGGUGGCCAGUAGACGCCCCUGGCUGCUGCAUGGAAACUGGGCUGUGGGGGCAGAGGAGUGGAGAGACUAGCCAGGAGGCUGCAGCUGCGGUUUCACUCUACUCCCCACAGCCCGAUGAGGGGAGAUAAAGACAGAAGUCAAGGAUGGACUUGGUUUGGGGCUUGAGCGACUGGGUCCAUGCAGGUGUCCUUGCCUGAGACAAGGAUGGUUUGAGCCAGGGCACCCAGCCGGAGCUGGCUAGACUCCCUUUCUCCCGUGCCGCCCACCCUGCAGAAGGCCCGGAGCGUUCAUGCCAGCAUUCAGGGACCUCCACGCCCCUCCCUCCUCUUGCCUCUCCACUUUGACCUCACGCUGUUCCCCAUGGCCACAGAGCUCUUCUCUCUCUCUCCUGACAUGCCAUGCUCAGUCCCAGCUCCAGACCUUUGCUCACGCUGCUCUCCCUGAGGGCCCUUCCUCCUCCCUUGGCCUGAGUGGAGGCCUGAGAAGGGCUUCAUAGAGCAGUGGCUCUCAAGCUAGCACCUGCCUGGAUUUGAAUUCCAGCGCUACCACCUCCUAGCAUGUGAUCCUAAGCACAUUCCUUAACAGGACUCAAUUUCUUCAUCCGCCAAGUAAGAGUGAAAAUAUAAGUGCUGACCACGUGGGGGUAGUUGCAGGAUUAAAGAAGAAGCACUCAUUCGUUUCACUCUGGGAACAAGAGAAAUGUCAACCAGGGUUAGCCAGUGUUACUUCCUAGUGGCACAGAAAUGGCAUGAGGGGCUGGGCACAGGGGCCCAUGCCUGUCAUCCCAGCACUUUGGGAGGCUGAGACGGAAGGAUUACUUGAGCUCAGGAAUUCGAGACCAGCCUGGGCAACACAGGGAAACCCUGUUUCUAGAAAAAAUUUACAAAUUAGCCAGGUGUGGUGGUGCACACCUGUGGUCCCAGCUACUCUGGAGGCUGAGGUGGGAAGAUCACUUGAACCUGAGAGGUCGAAGCUGCAGUAAGUGGUGAUUGCACCACUGCACUCCACCUGGGCAGCAGAGCAAGACCUUGUCUCCAAAAAUAAAAUAUAAAAUAAAAAAAUUUUAAAAGCAUGGA